rnacentral:rRNA from 1 species
ACCUGGCUCACGCCGGUUUAAACUCAGAUCAUGUAAAAUUUUAAAGGUCGAACAGACCCAAUUUAUUAGCUUCUACACCAAUAAUUUCUUUUAAUCCAACAUCGAGGUCGCAAUCUUUUUUUUUAAUUUGAACUCUAAAAAAAAAUUACGCUGUUAUCCCUAAGGUAAUUUUAUCUUAUAAUCUUAACUUAAGGAUCAAUUUUUCAUUUAUAAAUGGUUUAAUACAAAAAAAGUUUAUUUAAUUUUUCAAUCACC